rnacentral:rRNA from 1 species
CCUACGGGAGGCAGCAGUGAGGAAUAUUGGUCAAUGGGCGGAAGCCUGAUCCAACCAAGUAGCGUGCGGGAUGAAGGCCCUACGGGUCGUAAACCGCUUUUGCACGGGGAUAACACCCUCCACUUGUGGAGGUCUGCAGGUACCGUGCGAAUAAGGGCCGGCCAAUUCCGUGCCAGCAGCCGCGGUAAUACGGAAGGCCCGAGCGUUAUCCGGAUUCCUUGGGCUUAAAGGGAGCGUAGGCGGGCGUUCAAGUCAGCUGUAAAAUCGCGCGGCUCCACCGCGCCCCGCAGUUGAAACUGGACGCCUUGAGUGCACAACAGGCAGGCGGAAGUCGUGGUGUAGCGGUGAAAUGCAUAGAUAUCACGAGGAACCCCGAUUGCGAAGGCAGCCUGCCGGGGUGCGACUGACGCUGAGGCUCGAAGGUGCGGGUAUCAAACAGGAUUAGAUACCCGUGUAGUC